AUUAAAGAAUAAGUAAACGUUUUUUUUUUCUGUCUAUAAAUUUACUCUAAACAGCCCCCCAGAUUAAUGUACCUUAGUCCCUGCUGCAAGUCUGCUCUGGUUCCAGCGUUGUCAGCAGCUUCUUUCCCCUUCUUCCUGGUGCAGGGUGAAGCCCCACCCCUAAGCUUGCUGAGCUCUCCUUAUCUCUCUGACUAGUCGGAGAGAUCAUUUGCAUGCUGUGUCAUAGCUGGGAGGAAGGCAGAGCCAGUGUGUGCACGAGCAGCUUUUUUUUUUUCUCCUCACAUGCACUCCCUGCUCGUUCUGGUUCAUUCCAGAUCACAGCAGCACUGGGAGGAAGAGCUGGAAGACUUCUCUGAUACUGCUAAUGCACUAUAGGUCUUUAUUUUUCCUAAGGAGAAUUUUUCAAAACAGCUGGCAGAAUGGAUUACUUACACAGACACUUGAGUAACUGCUUGCACUUCAGCUGUCAGACUCUCAGCCCCAUCAUGCAAAUACUAUCUGCUGUUAAUUCUAAGGAAAGGUAGCACCCUGUGCCUGUUGUCCCUCUGGCAGAAAUUCCCCACUGAUGACCCCGGGCUCUGGGGUAAUUAAUGGCCACAAGUUUGUUGUUAAUAAAACUCCUGCUACAUCGAGCCCAAAUUCCCACCCUGCGAAGAGUAUUCUCAAAAUAACUACUUGAACAACCAGUCCCCAGAAUACUACGAGCGGCCGAGGGAGCCCGGGUUAGAGGCUCCUGCUGAGACUCUGUACUUGGGAGCGGGUAGUUACCCCAAAGACGGCUAUAGAUACAGCCACAUUGCUCCGCCGAGCCAAGAAUCUUCUGCAACAGUCCAGGAUCAUGGGAUCUCUCCAAAGGGGCACAGUCAAUCUCUGCCGCAACUUGUCCAAAGCCACGUCCUCAGGCAGCCUCCCCAGCACUGUGAUUCCUCGUAGUAUAACGUAGAGUGUGAAAUUCAGAGAAGAUUUGCAAUUGGUUUUUGACUUUUAUUAUUUAUGGUUUUUUAGUUAUUUAGCUUUUUAUUCAGAAGCUCUCCAGUUUGCAGUUUCAGCAAUCUGUUUGAUAGGCUCCAAAUUACCCUAGCAACCAUGCAUUAGUUUGAAUAAGUGACUGGAAUAUGAAUAAGAGAGGGUCCAGAUAUAAAGAUGAGUAAUACAAAGUAGGAAUAACAAUACAUUUGUAGCUUUACAGAUCUAAUCCGAAAUUUUAGAGGAGAUCCAAAGAAGAUUUGUCACUGGGCUUUCAUACACAUGCCGAUAAUCAGUCCAGUCUGGCAGUACGUUUCGGGUUGGGUCAGAAGAGCAGAUUCGGGAGAUUUAGUUGCCUGUCGACUAAUCACCUCUUCUGUGUGGCGACAAACUCCCCCGAACUCCCUUCCGUAUGCUUGAAUGAAGAAUCACCUGCGCUAAUGCACUCACGGUGCUUCGAUUCGGCAACUAAAUCUCCUCGAAUUUGCCCAUGUGCCCUUACCCUUAGUUUUCCGAAGUUGCCUCACUAGGAAACUUCAGUCGACUUUGGAAACGGAAGUGUUCCGAGUGUCAUCCCACAGGCGAUUUUCACUUUAGCUGGCGGGGAGGCAGUUCGUGGAGAUUAUUCGCCCGUAGAAAAAACAAUUUGUCGAUAGGGUGACUAAUCUCCCCAAAUCUCCACGUGUGUCUCUGCCCUUAGGCUACUGCCAGACAGGACUGAUUAUUGGCAUGUGCAUGAAAGCAGGCCCAGAAUCAACUAACUUGCUGGAGUCUGGUCAGUGGCAUAAAUAACACCCUCGUGGGACUGCCCUGUGGGGGCCACAGGUCCUGAGGGGCUCCUGCCACUGCUGCCAGGGUUCAGGCACCCACCUCUUCAGCCCAGAAUAAAUAAAAUCUCGCGUCUGCCACCACCUUUAGGGCAGUGGCACACAAAGCUACAGGGGGAGAUUAGUCGCCCAGCGACAAAUUGCUUUUUCUUCAGGCGACUAAUCUCAUCUGAACUGCUUCCUCGCCGGCUAAAGUAUUAAUCACCUGCGGGAUGGCACUCAGAACAUUUCAGUUUCUGAAGUCGCCCAAAGUUUCCUCAUGAGACAACUUUGUUUUCCAAGUGCCACCCCGCAGGCGAUUUACACUUUAGCCGGCGGGUGGCAGUUCAGGGGGAUUAGUCGCCCGAAGAAAAAGCAAUUUGUCGCUAGGCGACUAAUCUCCCCCUGUAGCUUCGUGUGCCACUGCCUUAGGAAUAACACAGUGCAUGCGAUGUGUCGGCUCCAGAUGUGUUGUGGAGUUCUACCCUAAAACACCAACCAAUAAAAAUUAAAACCAAUAAGAAAAUGUCUCAGAAUAUCAGUUUCUACAUCAUACUAAAGCAAUGCAUUGGGCAUUGUAAAUAUCAAUAGUAUCUCUGACCACACUGUAUGAUAUAAUUUACCAUUAGUAAUAUGUCGUAAAUGAAUGGAACAUUUUUAAUAUUAAUAAAACAGAUUUUUAUUGGAAAU